GCUGGAAAUGGUGGUUUUCUGGAUCCUGCAAUAACAUUAAAAGUUCUUAAAUUUUUCAUGAAACUUGGAACAUGGAUAGAUGGCAAUAUGUACAUUAUGCACGUCAUUUCAUUUUGUUCCUACGUCAAAAAUUAUGGUUGUUAUGGCAACAAAUUAAAAAAAUAUUCUGACAAUGGUGAAAUUUUUGACAUUGGUGGAGCCGGUAGGGGACUUUUAUUGCUUGGAAAUAGUCUUGUUAUUACUAUUGUUUACUUUUUGAGCCUUUUACUGUUAAAAAUGCCCGCCAAUUUUGGACAGACACUGCUAUCUGCCUUGGCCUUCAACCCCGUCAAACAGAUCUACUCAGAAUAAUGCUACUUUGCCAUAUUUUUCCUGUUCGGAUAUCUUGCUGAGUUCAAGGUGGUGUCAAAAUGGGUCUAUAGCUCUGCCUGAACUGUUGUCCAAUUGGUUUACAAGUCCAGCUGAAGUGACAGGCCAUCAAAAACUGCACAGCAUGACUAAUCCGGAGACGGUCGUCUACACUCGCCCAGUUGUGUCGAGAGGAUCGGUGUCUUUGAAGAUUAAAUGGAAUUGAGCACCCGGGCCAGACUGACACUUUCCGGAGCCUGUCCGAGACGGAACUCGAGCGGAGGAAUCAUAGGUCCAGGUGUCACAGAAGACUUAAAGCUCAUGUCUGACAAUGACUUUUUAGCUCACCUGAGUGAUAGCUCGAGGUGAGCUAUUGUGAUCACUCAGCGUCCGGCGUCCGUCCGUCCGUCUGUAAACAAUUUGUAAACAUCUUCUUCUACUAAACCAUUGAGCCAAUUUCAACUAAAUUUCAUGUGGAGCAUCCCUAGGUCAUGGGACAAAAGAAUUGUUAAAAAAAAUUUGAUCACAUAACCAAGAUGGCCGCCAUGACCAUAUAUGGUAAAAACCUUAAAAAAUCUUCUUGUCAGAAACCGCUCAUCAGAUUUUCAAAAAAUUUCACAGGGAUGACCUUUGAGGGCUCCCCUGAAAAAGUUGUUCAAAGAAAUUUGAUUCGUCAAAAAACAUGGCCGCAGGAGCUCGUUGAACUUUGCAUGUUUAUUCGUUUUUGCCUAUUUUGUGAAAACUUUCAAAAAUCUUCCACAUUUUUUGUCCGAUCCUUUCCAAAUUUGCACAGUGUCUUUAUAUCAAUGAGGACACGAACCCUACAAAAAAUGAGCAUUAUUGGUCCAUGAAGUACAGAAUUACCUCCCCUUGAAUUGAGAAAAUGGUGUUUAUGCAAUAAAGUCCAAAUUAUUCAUCCAAUUCUUUCCAAACUUGUAAGGAUUUAGCAUGGUUCAAACAAGGGAAACAACUACGGUUUAUGCAUGUUUUUUUUAUUACAGAUUUGCCUCCCUUUAAUUCAUUCAAAAUCUCAUUUUACAGCAGAGAUUCCAAAUCUUACCUGUAAAUGAGCCCCAUAUUU